UUUAAAUACUUUUUAAAGUAUCAAUUGGAGGGCAAGUCUGGUGCCAGCAGCCGCGGUAAUUCCAGCUCCAAUAGCGUAUAUUAAAAUUGUUGCAGUUAAAAAGCUCGUAGUUGAAUUUUUGCUAAAAAUAUAACCGGUCUGCUUUUAUUAAUAAAAGUGGUAUCUUGGUGUGCUUUUAGCAAUAAUGUCCUUUGAAAUGUUUUUUACUUCAUUGUAAAAAGCAAUUUUCAGGAUUUUUACUUUGAGAAAAUUAGAGUGUUUCAAGCAGGCUAACGUUUUGAAUACUGCAGCAUGGAAUAAUAAAAUAGGAUUUUAGUUCUACGUUAUUGGUUUUAAGAACUAAAUUAAUGAUUGAUAGGAGCAGUUGGGGGCAUUUGUAUUUAACUGUCAGAGGUGAAAUUCUUAGAUUUGUUAAAGACACACUACUGCGAAAGCAUUUGCCAAAGAUGUUUUCAUUAAUC
rnacentral:rRNA from 1 species